rnacentral:rRNA from 1 species
CAACCGGGAUGCCUCAGUAACGGCGAGUGAAGCGGCAGAGCUCAAAUUUGAAAGCUGGCCYCCUCGGGGUCCGCGUUGUAAUUUGCAGAGGAKGCUUCGGGCACGGCCYCUGUCUAAGUGCCCUGGAACGGGCCGUCGGAGAGGGUGAGAAUCCCGUCUGGGACGGGGAGUCCGUGUCCAUGUGAAGCUCCUUCGACGAGUCGAGUUGUUUGGGAAUGCAGCUCUAAAUGGGUGGUAAAUUUCAUCUAAAGCUAAAUACUGGCCGGAGACCGAUAGCGCACAAGUAGAGUGAUCGAAAGAUGAAAAGCACUUUGAAAAGAGAGUUAAACAGCACGUGAAAUUGUUGAAAGGGAAGCGCUUGCGACCAGACUCGCCCGCAGGGUUCAGCCGGCAUUCGUGCCGGUGUACUUCUCUGCGGGCGGGCCAGCGUCGGUUCGGGCGGCCGGUCAAAGGCCCCUGGAAUGUGUCACCCUCCGGGGUGUCUUAUAGCCAGGGGUGCAAUGCGGCCAGCCUGGACCGAGGAACGCGCUUCGGCACGGACGCUGGCGUAAUGGUCGUAAGCGACCCGUCUUGAAACACGGACCAAGGAGUCUAACAUCUACGCGAGUGUUUGGGUGUCAAACCCAUGCGCGCAGUGAAAGCGAACGGAGGUGGGAACCCCGCAAGGGGCGCACCAUCGACCGAUCCUGAUGUCUUCGGAUGGAUUUGAGUACGAGCGUAGCUGUGGGGACCCGAAAGAUGGUGAACUAUGCCUGAAUAGGGCGAAGCCAGAGGAAACUCUGGUGGAGGCUCGCAGCGGUUCUGACGUGCAAAUCGAUUCGUCAAAUUUGGGUAU